rnacentral:rRNA from 1 species
CCCUUAGAUGUUCUGGGCCGCACGCGCGCUACACUGAUGCAUUCAACGAGUCUAAAACCUGCUCUGAUAGGGGUGGGUAAUCUUUUGAAUGUGCAUCGUGAUUGGGAUAGAUGAUUGCAAUUUUUCAUCUUCAACGAGGAAUGCCUAGUAAACGCAAGUCAUCAGCUUGCAUUGAUUACGUCCCUGCCCUUUGUACACACCGCCCGUCGCUCCUACCGAUUGGAUGGUCCGGUGAAGCCUCGGGAUUGUGGUUCUUGCCGCUUUAUUGUGGCGUGACCGCGAGAACUUGUCUAAACCUUAUCAUCUAGAGGAAGGCGAAGUCGUAACA